AUUGAACGCUGGCGGCAUGCUUUACACAUGCAAGUCGAACGGUAACAGGCCUUCGGGUGCUGACGAGUGGCGAACGGGUGAGUAAUGCAUCGGAACGUGCCCAGAGGUGGGGGAUAACGCGGCGAAAGCUGUGCUAAUACCGCAUGUGAUCUGAGGAUGAAAGCGGGGGACCAAGCAGCAAUGUUUGGCCUCGCGCCUCUGGAGCGGCCGAUGUCAGAUUAGGUAGUUGGUGGGGUAAAGGCCUACCAAGCCGACGAUCUGUAGCUGGUCUGAGAGGACGACCAGCCACACUGGGACUGAGACACGGCCCAGACUCCUACGGGAGGCAGCAGUGGGGAAUUUUGGACAAUGGGCGCAAGCCUGAUCCAGCAAUGCCGCGUGCGGGAAGAAGGCCUUCGGGUUGUAAACCGCUUUUGUACGGAACGAAAAGGCUCUGGCUAAUACCUGGGGCUGAUGACGGUACCGUAAGAAUAAGCACCGGCUAACUACGUG
rnacentral:rRNA from 1 species